GCAAGGCAGUGAUGAUAAACACUUUAGCAAACACGCCAGUUCUGCUUCUGAUAAUUCAUGACAGAAAAACCAGUUAUAGAUCUGAGCCAUGC
rfam:Brachypodium distachyon strain Bd21 chromosome 1, whole genome shotgun sequence.